rnacentral:rRNA from 1 species
UCCGUAGGUGAACCUGCGGAGGGAUCAUUACCGAGUUUACAACUCCCAAACCCCUGUGAACAUACCUAUUUGUUGCCUCGGCGGUGCCUGUUCCGACAGCCCGCCAGAGGACCCCAAACCCUGAUUACAUUUAAGAAGUCUUCUGAGUAAACCGAUUAAAUAAAUCAAAACUUUCAACAACGGAUCUCUUGGUUCUGGCAUCGAUGAAGAACGCAGCGAAAUGCGAUAAGUAAUGUGAAUUGCAGAAUUCAGUGAAUCAUCGAAUCUUUGAACGCACAUUGCGCCCGCUAGUAUUCUGGCGGGCAUGCCUGUCCGAGCGUCAUUUCAACCCUCAAGCCCCCGGGCUUGGUGUUGGGGAUCGGCGAGCCUCCGCGCCCGCCGUCCCCUAAAUCUAGUGGCGGUCUCGCUGUAGCUUCCUCUGCGUAGUAGCACACCUCGCACUGGGAAACAGCGCGGCCACGCCGUUAAACCCCCAACUUCUGAACGUUGACCUCGGAUCAGGUAGGAAUACCCGCUGAACUUAAGCAUAUCAAUAAGCGGAGGA